GCCAGUGGUGAACUCCACAUCCGCAUCCUUUGCUGAGGAUACGGUUAACGGAGCGAAAGCGACGUUCAACCGCAAAACAAGCAGAGGGGGCUUAGUGGUGGGGUGACUGCGUACCUUUUGUAUAAUGGGUCAGCGACUUAUAUUCUGUAGCAAGGUUAACCGUAUAGGGGAGCCGGAGGGAAACCGAGUCUUAACCGGGCGUUAAGUUGCAGGGUAUAGACCCGAAACCCGGUGAUCUAGCCAUGGGCAGGUUGAAGGUUGGGUAACACUAACUGGAGGACCGAACCGACUAAUGUUGAAAAAUUAGCGGAUGACCUGUGGCUGGGGGUGAAAGGCCAAUCAAACCGGGAGAUAGCUGGUUCUCCCCGAAAGCUAUUUAGGUAGCGCCUCGUGAAUUCAUCUCCGGGGGUAGAGCACUGUUUCGGCUAGGGGGCCAUCCCGGCUUACCAACCCGAUGCAAACUGCGAAUACCGGAGAAUGUUAUCACGGGAGACACACGGCGGGUGCUAACGUCCGUCGUGAAGAGGGAAACAACCCAGACCGCCAGCUAAGGUCCCAAAGUCAUGGUUAAGUGGGAAACGAUGUGGGAAGGCCCAGACAGCCAGGAUGUUGGCUUAGAAGCAGCCAUCAUUUAAAGAAAGCGUAAUAGCUCACUGGUCGAGUCGGCCUGCGCGGAAGAUGUAACGGGGCUAAACCAUGCACCGAAGCUGCGGCAGCGAACGUAUCACCCAAGACAACUUUACGGAGUUGACGAUUGACGGAGCGAAGCGACGUCAAAGCGUUCAUUAAAGUCGAGUUGGCUUAGGGAUACGUUCGUUGGGUAGGGGAGCGUUCUGUAAGCCUGUGAAGGUGUGUCGUGAGGCAUGCUGGAGGUAUCAGAAGUGCGAAUGCUGACAUAAGUAACGAUAAAGCGGGUGAAAAGCCCGCUCGCCGGAAGACCAAGGGUUCCUGUCCAACGUUAAUCGGGGCAGGGUGAGUCGACCCCUAAGGCGAGGCCGAAAGGCGUAGUCGAUGGGAAACGGGUUAAUAUUCCCGUACUUGGUGUUACUGCGAAGGGGGGACGGAGAAGGCUAUGUUGGCCGGGCGACGGUUGUCCCGGUUUAAGCGUGUAGGUGUGUGUUCCAGGUAAAUCCGGUUCACUUUAACACUGAGGCGUGACGACGAGGCACUACGGUGCUGAAGCAACAAAUGCCCUGCUUCCAGGAAAAGCCUCUAAGCAUCAGGUAACAUCAAAUCGUACCCCAAACCGACACAGGUGGUCAGGUAGAGAAUACCAAGGCGCUUGAGAGAACUCGGGUGAAGGAACUAGGCAAAAUGGUGCCGUAACUUCGGGAGAAGGCACGCUGACACGUAGGUGAAGUGAUUUACUCAUGGAGCUGAAGUCAGUCGAAGAUACCAGCUGGCUGCAACUGUUUAUUAAAAACACAGCACUGUGCAAACACGAAAGUGGACGUAUACGGUGUGACGCCUGCCCGGUGCCGGAAGGUUAAUUGAUGGGGUCAGCGCAAGCGAAGCUCCUGAUCGAAGCCCCGGUAAACGGCGGCCGUAACUAUAACGGUCCUAAGGUAGCGAAAUUCCUUGUCGGGUAAGUUCCGACCUGCACGAAUGGCGUAAUGAUGGCCAGGCUGUCUCCACCCGAGACUCAGUGAAAUUGAACUCGCUGUGAAGAUGCAGUGUACCCGCGGCAAGACGGAAAGACCCCGUGAACCUUUACUAUAGCUUGACACUGAACAUUGAGCCUUGAUGUGUAGGAUAGGUGGGAGGCUUUGAAGUGUGGACGCCAGUCUGCAUGGAGCCGACCUUGAAAUACCACCCUUUAAUGUUUGAUGUUCUAACGUGGACCCGUAAUCCGGGUUGCGGACAGUGUCUGGUGGGUAGUUUGACUGGGGCGGUCUCCUCCUAAAGAGUAACGGAGGAGCACGAAGGUUGGCUAAUCCUGGUCGGACAUCAGGAGGUUAGUGCAAUGGCAUAAGCCAGCUUGACUGCGAGCGUGACGGCGCGAGCAGGUGCGAAAGCAGGUCAUAGUGAUCCGGUGGUUCUGAAUGGAAGGGCCAUCGCUCAACGGAUAAAAGGUACUCCGGGGAUAACAGGCUGAUACCGCCCAAGAGUUCAUAUCGACGGCGGUGUUUGGCACCUCGAUGUCGGCUCAUCACAUCCUGGGGCUGAAGUAGGUCCCAAGGGUAUGGCUGUUCGCCAUUUAAAGUGGUACGCGAGCUGGGUUUAGAACGUCGUGAGACAGUUCGGUCCCUAUCUGCCGUGGGCGCUGGAGAACUGAGGGGGGCUGCUCCUAGUACGAGAGGACCGGAGUGGACGCAUCACUGGUGUUCGGGUUGUCAUGCCAAUGGCACUGCCCGGUAGCUAAAUGCGGAAGAGAUAAGUGCUGAAAGCAUCUAAGCACGAAACUUGCCCCGA
rnacentral:rRNA from 1 species